GCGGGGGUGCCCGAGCGGUCUAAGGGGUUGGACUUAAGAUCCAAUGGCUUAGUGCCUUCAGAGGUUCGAAUCCUCUCCCCCGCA
rnacentral:tRNA from 1 species